GACGAACGCUGGCGGCGUGCUUAACACAUGCAAGUCGAACGGAAAGGCCCUGCUUUUGUGGGGUGCUCGAGUGGCGAACGGGUGAGUAACACGUGAGUAACCUGCCCUUGACUUUGGGAUAACUUCAGGAAACUGGGGCUCAUACCGGAUAGGAGCUCCUGCUGCAUGGUGGGGGUUGGAAAGUUUCGGCGGUUGGGGAUGUACUCGCGGCGUAUGAGCUUGUUGGUGGGGUGGUGGCUUACCAAGGCUUUGACGGGUAGCCGGCCUGGGAGGGGGACCGGCCACAUUGGAACGGGAAUAAGGCCCAGACUCGUAUGGGAGGCAGCAGUGGAGAAGAUUGCACUAUAGGCGGAAGGCUGAUGCAGCAAAGCAGCGUGGGGGAAGACAGCAUUCGGGUUGGAAACUGAUGUCGCCUGUGACGAAGCGUGAGUGACGGUAACGGGUAAAGAAGCACCGGCUAACUACGUG
rnacentral:rRNA from 1 species